CCGCCCCGGCCAAACGGUGCCCCUGCAGCCGACACACCCUGCAUCCUACCGAUCGCAAGCUGAUUGAAGAAGACACCGUCACCGAAUUACGGAAGGAUAAGGCCGAGAGGAGUAACAUUUUUCCUGACGUCUUUUCGUGGCCGUGGCCAUCUGGCUGGAAUCUUGUUUCAAAGAUGGCGUUCUAAGGUUGAAGAGACCGUAUGCGAUGCAAGUUGGUGUCAUGGGACGAGGCAAUUCUGCGGUUAUGUUCCCGGGUGGGACACGUGACGGAGAAGGUGAGUUGCAGCGGUGGUUAAAGCUAAUGUUCUGAGAUUAAUAUGCCAUCAGCCUAACCCAAAUCAAGGAGCCGGAUGGACCAUGGAACUGCUGGUAGUGGACAAAAAGUUAAAUUUGUUUGUCGCGUCACUGUUCUUGCUACGAAAAUUCGAAAAAAAAACAUAUAUAAUCACAAAUUCAAACAUAUAUAGAAAAUGACAAUGAGUGAAAAUACAAAGAAAAAAGAAAAAACGUUACUGGUGUCUUCUUCGUCAAUGCUUACAGGGAGAUUAUUUUGUCAAAAAAUUCAAGCGAGCAUCAAAGUACAAAAUCAUCUUACAUUCAAAAUUUACAAGCAUGUGAAAAUCACAGAAACAAUCUCUUGCACAAGUACAGGACAUUAGCAAGCAUGAACAUGAAAGUUGAAAGUGUAAUUUUCAUAUUAUCCUACCAAAAUAUCAAAAGGGAAAUUUCAGAUCUCAUUUGAACCGAAUAACAUCAAAGAAACUGUAAUUUUCCUCCUCAUGCUUGCGCAUGCCUCACUGAUGGACGUGGCGGCGCUUCCUCCAUCUUCCUCCCGGCUCCCACCUUCGUCAACAGAUCCGGUGGGAGCACCUUUAAAUCUAGAGAGAGAGAGAGAGAGAGAGAGAGAGAGGGCACCAUACCGCCGGAUGUAGGCUUCUCCUUGCCAGAUCCGGGCUUCUCCUCGCGAGGAACGACCAAGACGGUGAGGGACCAUGCUCCUACCUCCAUGGCGGCGUCGGGGAAGAAGGAGAACCUCGCCUUAACGGAUCCAGGCCGGGAACCCUACCUCGCAUCGCUAUCGCCGGGAUUUACCCAUGCGCCGCCACCGUGCCGUCACCACGGAUCCGGCCGCGCGGAAGGUGGGGAGGGCCACGGGCUGCCUCCUCGACGGAAGACAAGAGAGGGCCUCCACCUCGGGCAACCAUGGCGAGCUCGCCGGAGGGGAAAGAGUAAAAGGAAGAAAAGAAAUGACGAGACGAGGGAGAAGAAGCGGCGGAAGAAUAACACAAGAGUAAGUUUAAAAAAAAGAACACCACAAGAGAGAUUAACGGAAGUAAAUGACGCCGGUUCUAAUCACUCGAAACCUAAUCGCUUCUCUCCUUUAUUUAGUGUAGCCUUUAAUCUGAUGGCAUCUGAGAUGCCCGCCGCGGUACACAACCACCGGAAGGGAUUUUCGGGUGUCAUGGAGCAUUAGAGCAAGAAGCACGGAAUACAUAACGACUGACACGUGUAUAAGCUCUUUCCUUUAAUUACUUGGAGUGUCAAUUUUUUAUAGGGGAUGUUGACUUUAAUUAGAUCAGGUUAAUGAUCCGUCUCAUUGAUCAACCUUUAAUUUCUUUAAUCAUUGUCCUUGCUUGAUGAUGAUAAUUGAUAAGCUGUGAACGUAUUUUUUUUCUUAAACACAGUCCUCCCUCCGUCCCACAAAGAGUGUCCCUUUAAGUUUGUCCUGAAUCAAACUGUUUUAUAUUUGACCAAGUUUAUAAUGAAAACUAUCAAUAUUUAUAAUAUGCUAUGAAAAUAUAUUUCAUAACGAAUCUAAUGAAACUUGCUAGACAUCAAAAGUAUUUAUGUAUUUUCAAUAUAGAUCAUGAUAUCCACUAUCACCCUGCAAUGUCUCAAAUUAAAAUUCAACUUGCAUAUGAAGAAAUAAAAAUGACAAAUUGCUUUAUGAGGUAAGUUGAACCAAAUAGCAUAGUUUAUAGGGUAAAUUGAACCAAAACAUAGUUUAGGGGGUUAUCUGGACUUUCGCUACACUUGAAAGGAGUAAUUUGGAACUUUUCCUAAUAGAAUAUGAGUAGUAAAACCAAAAAUACUAGGGGGGGUAAGACAGCCCCCGGGCAUUUUGCUAAGAAGAAGACCUUCUCACGCAGGUUGAGAAAACCUCCAAACUCCUGCUCCACCCUUACAUAGCAGCACCAUAACCCGUGUAAGAUGACCAAUGACCUGGUCGGGGCCUUAGACCUAUGCUUUGGCGUGGGACAUGCGAGGGGAUUUUUUAACAACAACAACAACAUAGCCUUUCAGUUCCAAGCAAGUAAGCAAGUUGGAUUAGGCUAGAGUUGAAACCCAACAAGAGCCACAAAUCAGAGUUCGGGAACAUGGAUAGCUAUUUUCCAAGCACUCCUAUCCAGAGCUAAAUCUUUGGGUAUAUUCCAUCCUUCAAAUCUCCUUUUAUUGCCUCUUCACAUGUCAAUUUUGAUCUUCCUCUGCCAACAUUCUGCACCAUACAGCAUUGCAGGAUUUUUUUAACCCCAACCUGAAAUUCGCACCCACGGGGAGUUGAACCCAGCACCUAAGGAGUGCUAUUAGAGCCACCUAACCAACUCAACUAGAGGCCCGUUCGCUAAUAUAUACUAAGGGCUAUGCUAAGGUACACCUUUUACUUUCUAUAAGGGCUAUGCUAAUAUACAACUUUUACUUUCCAGUAGGAGGUAAGAGAUGAAACAAAUCUGAAUCCUUAUUUUUUCAAAAUAAAUAAUAAUUAGAUCCAACACUAGAAACACUAUCCAGAAAAAGAGGUUACUUAUUAAGGUUUAUGGAUUUCCUUUAACAAUAACCUCUAUCGUUAGGGCUCUUGAAUUUUCAUAGUUUAGAUAAAAAAACUUGUUUUUUUAAAAGUAAUCCUUGUAAGCACAAACCAUGUGCUAGAUGCAGGUGAUGGCAGAGUAGCACAGCAUGUAUGUACAUAUUUGCAUAUGAAGAAAAGGAAUCGGUGGCGUUUUUUUAUCAAUUAUUAAUAACUUGAAGUUGCUGUUAUUAGGUUUGGUAUGCUAAGGUACGUAGCUCAGAGUAGUUAAAUGUUUUUAUAUAUUUGGGUUAAGUUUAUUAGCUACUACUUUGGGGAAGCUUUUGUUUCUCCCUAUUUGGCUGGAUCUAUCAUUGAGAGCUGGUGGAUUAGACUGCUAUUAGACUUCUAAAUUAGACAGAGAAGUGCUUAGUGGAUUCUCGCGGUGACUGCAGACAAGGGCUUGUUGCAUUCAUUUGGGUUAACUUUGACAUGAAGCAUAAACAAACUCCAACCAUGAGCUAACCAGAUAGCUACAAAGAGACGUUGUUUUUAUUUUAUUUUCUUUUCGGUCUCGUGCCGCUACAGCACUUACUUAAUCAUUCGUUUCAGGAUUUAGGGGGUGUUUGGAUACUAGGUGCUAAACUUUAGCAGUAUCACAUCGGAUGUUCGGAUGCUAAUUAGGAGGACUAAACAUGAGCUAAUUAUAAAACUAAUUGCAGAACCCUGUGCUAAUUCGCGAGACGAAUCUAUUAAUCCUAAUUAAUCCAUCAUUAUAAAAUGGUUACUGUAGCACUACAUUGUCAAAUCAUGAACUAAUUAGGCGUAAUAGAUUUGUCUUGCGAAUUAGACUCCAUUUGUGCAAUUAGUUUUGUAAUUAGCCUAUGUUUAAUACUCCUAAUUAGUAUCAAAUAUCCGAUGUGACAGGUGUUAAACUUUAGCGGGUGGUAUCCAAACAUCCCUUUAGAUUUUUCUUUUAUUUGUACUCACUCGCCGUCUCGCCCAUUCAUCUCCUUUUUUUUCCCUUUUGCUAUCAUUUUCAUAUCUCAGUGAGGGGAAAACUGGUAAAAAAAAGAUAAGGAAAACGUAAUAACACUUUUAAAAUUAAAAUCAGCCAUACCCCCAAAAUUCACUUAGUUUACUUCAGUGUCUAAAUUUGGCCAUUUGUGACUGUGAAAGACAAGCUCUGUAUAUAACUGCAGGUACUUUCAUAUUGUGCAAAAAUGUUUCGCGCUAUUAUAUGACACCCCUUGCUACUUUAUACAGCAAGAAAGCACUUCAAAUCCUCCCCCAUUUUAGGCAACUAAUUAAUUUGAACUCUAUGGCACUGAGAAAAUGUUUGAGAGACUGCCACAAAUAUUCACUGUAGCAUGGUGCGUUCUGUAUAUACUACACUGGGUUUCUGUCCCUCCGUCUAUCAUUGUACUCUAUUACGGUGUUAAAUUUAUAUAUUUUUGCCUCCCAAAAUGUCAAUACUGGAAGUAGUAGUCCAUGCUGGCAUAUCAAAUUUAUUAAUGGCCAUUUGAACAAUAAUAACACUCAUCAUAUGCCAGGUCGUGAAAUGUUCUGGAUGUAAUGAAGCACGGGAAUUUCAUAAAUGGUAAUUUGAUAAAAAAAAAGAAGAAGAAAGAACCGUGUGCAGGGGGUUACAGCACGCACACAGUUCAUGCACUGUAGAAGAAAUGAGAAUCUUAGAUACAUUCUCUCCCUAUUUUUUUCUCAAAUAUGAAGCAGAGCUGCAUAUCUUUGUAGUAAUAGAGACAGACGAAUGCAUGUCUCCUAAUGCAUAUCCGUAUAACUUCUCUACCUUUAUAACUAUGUUGUAGAGACUUUGUUUCCUUAGACAAAUAGACCUGCAUCUACAUUGAUCUUUGCCUAGCUCAUAAGAGGAAUAGGAUCUAAUUGCUCCUAAAAAAUUUAGACCAUUAUCAACAUUUUUAUUUGUAACAAUGAAGGAAACUUAACUCUGUUCACAAAAAUAGAUGCUUAAAUAUUUUUGCUCACUACAGAUUCCCAUAGCUCAUCAAAUUGUAACCCGUCCAUUGUGUGUCUAAACAAAUAUAAUCUUGCUAAUCAACUCUAACCAUUUGCAUAUACCUUAUAAAAAGUCAUAUAGAUAGUUUUGCAAACCACCAAGCACUAGUGGAAAAUUGAGCAUUAGUCCCGGUUGGAGAGACGCGUCUCAAAAAUCCAACUGGGACUAAUCUGUUAAGACUAAAAGCCCCCCUCUUUAGUCCCGGGUAUUUGACCCAAGACUAAAGACCUCCUUUAGUCUCGGUUGAAAAAUGGGCCACCCCCGCCCGCCCGCGCCGCUCGUGCCCUCCACCUGGAAGAAAGGGAGAGGAGGAGGAGAGAAGAUAAGGAAGAAGAGAAAGAUGGCCUGCGCGAGAUAAGGGAGGGGAGAGGAGGAGAGAACAUAAGGUGGAGAGAGAGGGGGGGACUAAAUUAAAGGCCCCGGUUGGUGAGGCGAGAUGUUUAGUCCCGGUUGGAAUUACCAACCGGAACUAAAGGGGACUAAAUUAAAGGUCCCGGUUGGUGAGGCGAGACGUUUAGUCCCGGUUGAAAACACCAACCGGGACUAAAUCCCGGUUGGUAUUUUUCAACCGAGACUAAACGCUCCACCGGAUUCCCUUGUCCCACUAGCCGUUACAACCGGUACUGAAGGGGGCUCUUUAGUCCCACUAGCUCGUCGGAGAUGGUCAUCGGUGGUGGGAAUUUGAACAAUCGGGACUAAAAACAGCAUCUAAGGUCUCUUUUCUACUAGUGAAGAUACGGGUCCAAAGUGGUGAGUGGUAAGUUGUGCCCAAGAGAAAAUAAUUCCCACUUGGAUGAAUGCAUGUACCUGGCUGUCUCCAGGGACAAUACAUAGGCUGUUGGUAAUUUUAAAAACAAGUGUACAAAAAUAUAUUCUAGUUAAAAGCAGUGUCUAGUCAUGCUUUAGACCGAAAUACAACAAUGACUUGACAUGAUAUAAUUAUGAUAUCUCAAGUUGGAUUAGCAAUUUGGACUACCAUAUAACAUAAGAGGUACACAAACAGCUGAAGUAGUACGAGAUUCGAUACAAAUGAGAUUUGCAAACAAUGUGGUUAGAUUCUCAUUACAAAGGGUGAUGUAUUACCAGAUCACUUCUCGAUUGUUAGUUAACAAGUUGUUAUUCCGAUCCCUAUCAAGGGAUUGAAUGCAUUUCUGUUCAGUUAUUUUCACUAUCUGUUUUCAUGCUAUUACUGGCAUACUAUGUAUUUACAUAAAUUGUAAGGUGAUAUAUCUACUUUCUCAGUCUUUAUGUGAUUUAUUUGGGAGCAUCUCAUCUUUGAAAAUUUGCCUCACUUUUCGGGCUCGUUCAAAAGCGAAGUUGUAGUUCAUAUGUUAGAGUUAUGUUCUAUAUAUUCUCAUUCAGAGAAAAUCUGUAUUUGUCAGAUUGCAACAUGUAAAGUACAGUAAACUUUGUUUGAAGAAGAAUUUACGUAUCAAGUUCAAAACUCAUGAGAACUAGUCACCAAGAUCUCUAUAUCUACGCAAUUCUCUAAUCAGGAAAUGGUUCCUCAAAUACAUGGAUAGUUCAUAUAUGAAUUAUGAAAUAAUUCAAAGUUCAUCUCUCAAAGCUUAAUCUAUUAGUUCUUUGUUGCACUUCCUAUUGGAUUGAACUCAGUUCAACUCAUAUGUUCGAAAUAUACUUCAAAUAAGAUUUAAGGGGACAAUAGACUCUUGUUUCCAUUUCAGAGGUUAUAUGUUUCUUAUGUGUGCAACUAUUGUGCUAUAUUCAGUUUGCAAUGGUUUCCUUAAUUAUUUUUAUCACGCUCACAUAUGUUAUAGGUGGAGCUUGUUCUAGCAAUUAGUUUAAUUUAUUUUGAAAUGAUUUUCAGUUAAGUUACUAUUAGUGUAGCAAUACCCAAAGUAGAGGAGUGCAAUAUCUGAUUCUUCGCUAUAAAAACAAAAUAACAAUAUUCUUUUGUAGUUUACCUGUCGAUCUGCCAUUCUGCCCUGACACUUAGUUUCACCUUCUUGCAAAUUCGUUUCGCACUUAUUCUCCUCAAGUUGUUCCAUGUCAUGGUAAUAUGUGGAUACUUUUCAUGAACUUUUUCAUUGUUUUACUGGUCUUCUUCUUAAUUUUAGGACGCUUUAAAGAAAUGUUUCCAAAAUAUUGCAAAAAUAGGAAUUAAUUUGCGGUGAUUCACUAUGCAUUUUUUUCUUUCAAGCUUUGUUACAAUGAUUGUUAAGUACCAAUAGGUACUUCCAGUUACUUUUUUCUUUAGACUUUUUAUAAAUCUUGAUUUGAGGAAUGUAAUUAAAAAAUAAAUUAAAUUAGUAUUGGUCCCACUAUUUUUGUACUUAGUCUCACCUAUUUGGUACUUCUUGGCGCUUUUCUUUCGGUACCUCCUAGUAUUUCCUAUUUUUCCACCGCGCAAUUUCUCAGGAUGGACGGCUCUCAAUUUUUCAAAUCAUAGUAAAACUCCUCUUUUCUUUUUGGUAUAGAGCGAACUAUUAUCCUUACGUCAACACAAAUCAUAUCAUGAAGCUCUUGAGCAUACUUUUAGCAUCUUCUCUGGUAGCUGUUGAAUGAUCCAAACAAUAUUUAGCUAGAUAGGUGGUUAGGUACCUAGUAUAUGAUUGUAACACCGGCCAUGAGGGGGGGAAAAUAUUGCAUGAGCUGAGCUCAUCAUCAAUCUACCUCCUAGGGCAUCAAUAAUUUCUCUCCUAAAAAACAAUUCCGGCUCGAUAAUUUCGCCUCACGCAUGGCUCCGUAAUCAAGACUUCCGAAAAUGUUGUUGCUCGAUUUACGUUCAAAAUACUAUAACUUUAUUUUAUUUUACAGACAUUUUACAGUCUAAAUUAAUGUAGCAGUUGUGCUGGACUGCUGGGCCUCGAACAAUCGGACGUGCUGGUCGCACUCGCCAGAUCAGAGAGAGUGCACGCUGUCCUCCAUGGACCAUGGUGAAGCAUGCAUUUUCUCUGCGGAGCACAUUUGGUGCCUUUUGUUUUGUAGGCUUUUUCUUGGAAGGUCACCAUGGUCUGUCCCCUUCAAUCUGCCGAGAUUGCCCCUUUCCAUUGGUGGAAUUUUAGGCCAAAAGUGGCACGGGAAAUCGAGAGCCUUGGUACUUGGUGCUACAUUGGUACUUGGUGCUCGGUAGGCGCGCACCAUUAUGCAGAACGGUCUUGAUUAGCCUUGUUUAGCGGUCUUUUUCCAACUUUGGCACUAUGUAAAAAGAAGAUUCCCCAUCACAUCAAACUUACGGUACAUGCAUAGAGUACUAAAUGUAGAUGAAAUUAAAAACUAAUUGCACAAUUUUGUUGUACUUUGCGAGAUGAAUCUUUUAAGCCUAAUUAGUCAAUGUUUGGACAAUAAUUCACAAAUACAAACGAAAUGUUACAGUUGCGCAUUUAUAGCAAAAUGUAAACUUUACCACUCUCAAUUUGGGAACUAAACAAGACCUUAUUUAGAAUAACCCACCUGAUUAUUUAAAGAAGGUGUACUUCUUGCAGGACCUGAAGAUACUUUGAUUCUUAAACAAACACAACAAGUUUUUUAAAAAGAGCCGUCUUACCCAAGAAACAAGUUUAUGACGCAGGGUUCUUUUCCAAACACAUUGAUUUCAUUAAAAAAACCGGUAGGUUUCCAUAGAACUUCCACUAGAAAUACUGGGUGGUGUUUGAUUUCUUUAGUCCAUGUGCUAAAGUUUAAUCCAGUCCAUACCCUAUUUGGGUUCAUGGACUAAAAUCCAUUAAUGCAGUUGAACAAAGACCCUUUUACCCCUAAUACCUACUGCCUGGUACCCUGUCCUGGCACCAACUUCUAGUUCUGGGCGCCUGCUACACACACAUACAUAGUCAUUGUCUUCCAAUCCAAGCCGCUAUCAAAAUCAAAUCCAAUCCAAUCCAAGCCGUGGAAAAAGAAACCCCUCCCCUCCCCUACCCCGCCCACAUGGCGCUCGAGGCACAGGCCUCCCGUCGCCACUCCCCGCCGCGCGCGCCGGAUGCAGUGACGGAUCCUCCAGCGCGCGAGGCGGCGGUAGGGGACUAGUGGCCGGACCCAGAUGAUCCCCCCACUGGCACCGCCACCGCCCCACCAGGCUCCCCUCCUGCGGACCCCUCCACGGCCGUCUUCGUCGCGUUGCGGAACCACGCCUCGACCUCCAAGUACUUGCCGCCGCGCGCCACGUCCUGCACUGCCAACCCGGACCCCGCCCGCGUCGUGGGGUGGUACUCAUGGAGUGGCGGCCGCACCGCGGGAGGGAGGGAGGCAUCGGGGGGGGGGGGGGGGCGGGAAGGAGGCCGGCGGCGAUAGCAGAGGGGGCCAAGUGGGAGGGCGGCGGGAGGGAGGCCAGCGGCGACGACGGCGGGCGGGACGGGGGUCGGAGGGAGGCCGCCGGCCCAGCCCCGCCGCUGUCGUCGCUAGCGGGCGGGAGGCGAUGGGAGGGAGGCCAGCGGAGGGAGCCAAGCGGGAGGAAGGGCAAUAAAUGAGGGGCAAGGGUGUCCCAAGACUCUUUAGUCUACCUUAGUCCACCUCAUAUGGACUAGAGGACUAAACACUUUAGUCCACAUUUUAGUCCACCUGUUUGGCACUUUAGGGACUAAAAGUGCCAAAAAUGAGUGGACUAAAGUACUGGGUUACCAGACCUAAUGUGUGUUAACAAAAAAGUUUGCAUCACGCGUAUAUGAAACUUAUACAAACUAGAUUGAAUUGAAUUAAUUUGUAUCCUAUUGAAGAGCCAUGCGUGAGGCGAUGUUAUUUUAACCUCGAUUUGAGUAUCUAUUUUUUCUCGCUUGCGAUACGUGAUUGAUAGGUCAACAUGUAUGGUAUGUAAAUUAAUAGCAAGACACUUAUGGUAGUGAGGCGAUCAAGUUCAAGUUCUUACAGAAAAGAAAGAUGCAUGCCCUCCUAACUCUUAAAUAUUUUGCAGGGUAGGAAAUUAUCCUCCUUACUUUUUGCAAUAUCAUGUGCCUUUCGUACCAGGAAUGAUGCCUACGAUUGAAACCAUAACUUUUUUCUAAAGUAGUCAUGAUUUGGCUACAAGUUUAUAUUUCUGCAAUAAAACUUGUAUGUAGGGGCUGUUUGGAUACGAGGUGCUAAACUUUAACAGUGUCACAUCGGAUGUUCGGAUGCUAAUUAGAAGGACUAAACAUGAGCUAAUUAUAAAACUAAUUGCAGAACCUUGUGCUAAUUCGCGAGACGAAUCUAUUAAGCCUAAUUAAUCCAUCAUUAGCAAAUGGUUACUGUAGCACCACAUUAUCAAAUCAUGGACUAAUUAGGCUUAAUAGAUUCGUCUCGCGAAUUAUACUCCAUCUGUGCAAUUAGUUUUGUAAUUAGCUUAUGUUUACUACUCCUAAUUAGCAUCCAAACAUCCGAUGUGACAGGUGUUAAACUUUAAUAGGGUGUUCCCAAACACCCCUGUAAUAAGAGGCUUUAUAUACGUACACUCCCCUUUGACUGGACCUUAAAUGUUCACUUUUAACCCUGACUGAUAGCCGCUCAGGUCUUCAACAUAUAUUCUUUUUUUGAAGGUUUAAGAUUUCUGGAUAAAAUUAGGGACCGGCGUGCAAAACCUAAAGGGAAUGGAUUAGCAAAGAUCCUCUACCGAAAGCUAGGGAUCAGUGAACAGUGCAAGGUCAAAACUCGAAAGACAAGAGAAGAAUUUGCCCAGCACCUCCAGAUCGCUCUCUCACUGCCCCCUUUCGCACCCUUUCUGCCCAUAUAUGUAUAUACCCCGCACGGCACGGGAUGCCGCGACCGAUCGGUGUCCCCGCGAGCCGCGCACACGCAAGCACGCGCCCGCACUGUUCGCUCGCUCGCUCGCUCCCCCACCUGCCCCGCCGCUCUCUACAGUGCUGCUGAGGUGGGCACUGCUGCCGACUCGUCUUCUUCCGAUCGUAUGUGCCGCCUCAUCCCCUUCUGCUUCGCUCUGCGCUUAAAUUUCUGUAGGCGUCGCGCCAUGGUAAGUUCUUGCGCUCUUGCCGCGGGAGUGCAAGAAUCGGUGGCCUUCCUGGACAUCCGGCGGGGCUUAUUGCCUGGAUGCCAUUUCUUGGAUAGUUAUUUAGCUUCUUGCAGGAUUUUCGCCCGGAAUUGUUGCCGCCGUCGUGACGGUUUCUUGGUUGGGAACAGGUUUCUUUUCCGGGGGCAUGGACUGGGCGGCGGCUUCCGGGGCGCCAUCCUGGGGCGCGGCGGCGGCGUCGGACCCCGGCCCGACCAUGCUGUCCUUCGCGGGGCCGUCGUCCUCCGCCGCCGCCGCAGCCGCCGAGGCGCGGCUUCAGGAUUUCGCCGCGGGGCUGGCCCAGCGAGCCCGGCCGGUGGGGGCGGCCGGAGGUGGGAGGAGGUCCCGCUCGGCGGGCGGUGGCGGCGGCGCGGAGGCCUGCUCCGUCGACGGGUGCCGGUCCGACCUCAGCCGGUGCCGGGAGUACCACCGGCGGCACAGAGUCUGCGAGGCGCACUCCAAGACGCCGGUGGUGGUCGUCGGCGGCCAGGAGCAGCGCUUCUGCCAGCAAUGCAGCCGGUACGGCUACCAUCUCAUCCGAUCCUUGUACAAAGCGGCGUACUCGUCGAAUUAAUCAACAAUUCCUGUGCUGAUGAGGUCAUUAGUUAAUAAUUGAGUGCGUAUUGGUCCCCAUCUGGCUUGCUAAUUGAGGAAUUCAGGGUAGGGAUUUGGUGCAUACGUUGGGGCAAAUUUAGGGGCAAAGUUUUCAGGUCUAGUUUGGUCCCAAGCUGGCAAGCUAAACAAUUAGGUUGGUAAUUUGGUGGCGUCUGGUGUUUAGGAUCUGAUGGCGUGCUGAUAGUUUAAUCUCACGGAUGCUAUGCGUUGCUGAUUAAACUAUUGGGUUGGUAAUUUGUGGUUGUUUAGGGUCUUGUAACCCGAUUAAUUUAGUCCUGUUGGUACUAUUUAAAGAAAGCUGUUGGUGUGGACAACUGACUUGUUUGAGUAGGGUUUGAUUUUUCUAUGGGAUACUCAGCAUCAUGCAGAAUCUUUCUCAUGAUUGCUGAAGUUUUGGGCUUUCUUCAGCGGGCAUGCUCAAUCUGAGCUCAUGACUGCUCUGCGAUGCAACUUUUUGCAAACCAUUGCUGUUUCUGCGCAACCAAAUAUGAAGACAUUUCACUAGAUAUAAGAUCUGGUCAAGUACAUACCUUAAUGCUUAUUGUUGCCCAUUGUGAUAAAAGGAAGGCCUCAAACUAGGAUUGAGGUUAUUUCAUGGGUUAUUCCUUGCAGCAAGCGUAUCUGAAACUGAAAUAUCAGGUUAUAGCUUGGUUGGUUGAUUUAAUUUCUCCCCUGGUUUUGGAGGCAUACUUUCUUCUCCCU
rnacentral:lncRNA from 1 species